UAUAAAUAACUUAGAUACAACAUAAACUACAAAAGUGUUUUAGCCAGAAUAAGGAAGAUAUUGUGUGUAGUGAAUCUGCUUGAGGUGGAGGAACGGAUGUAUUACUGUUGCUAGUCGGCUCCACUCUCCAGAACAAUUUGGAGCAAGCUGAAGUCUGAAGUUUAUCAAACCUUUGAAAGCCGAACCACUGAAUUAGACCUGCCUCCCUCAACUAUCCGCUCAAUCUUCAUCUAAAAUUUCCUGCGAUGAAAACGAGCGGGUUAGGGUCGCUUUCGUUUCAUCGCGGGCGGGUUUUAGGUGCGGAGCGGAGAUCCGCUCGGUUAGGGUCGGUUUCGCUUCAUCGCGGGCGGGUUUUAGGUGCGGAGCGGAGCAGAGAUCCGCUCGGUUAGGGUCGGUUUCGCUUCAUCGCGGGCGGGUUUUAGGUGCGGAGCGGAGAGGAGGCGACCCAGGUCUAGCCUAGCCUAGCCUAGCCUAGCUGGCU